rnacentral:rRNA from 1 species
GAUGAACGCUGGCGGCGUGCCUAAUACAUGCAAGUCGAGCGAACAGACGAGGAGUUUGCUCCUCUGACGUUAGCGGCGGACGGGUGAGUAACACGUGGAUAACCUACCUAUAAGACUGGGAUAACUUCGGGAAACCGGAGCUAAUACCGGAUAAUAUAUUGAACCGCAUGGUUCAAUAGUGAAAGACGGUUUUGCUGUCACUUAUAGAUGGAUCCGCGCCGCAUUAGCUAGUUGGUAAGGUAACGGCUUACCAAGGCAACGAUGCGUAGCCGACCUGAGAGGGUGGUCGGCCACACUGGCACUGAGACACGGUCCAGACUCCUGCGGGAGGCAGCAGUAGGGAAUCUUCCGGAAGGGGCGAAAGCCUGACGGAGCAACGCCGCGUGAGUGAUGAAGGUCUUCGGAUCGUAAAACUCUGUUAUUAGUGAAGAACAAAUCUGUAAGUAACUAUGCACGUCUUGACGGUACCUAAUCAGAAAGCCACGGCUAACUACGUG